UUUGGACUGUUUCAUUGCAAGGCUGACAAUAUUUUGAAAAUGUGAUGAUGGCAGAACAUGGACCCAAAGAAGAUGACACUUGAGCGUGCACUCAAGCUUCUGAGUAGUAAAAGUGUCAGACGGAUUGGUCGUCUAAAGGGGAAGGUCGAAAAGAAGGAACCCAUUGAAUGGCAUUAGCUGAGCCUGCCUGCACUCGUGUGUGCAAAAAAAAAAAAAAAAUUCAGAGAGAAGUCAACAUUCAUAGCAUGCAGAGGUUCAGCCUUUCGUGUGUUUAACUGCUUAUGAUGAGAGCGGAGAAGGGGGCCCCAUGUGUGACAAAGAACAAGUGCCAAGGGAAUGCACAACCAGACAUAUUCGGGUCAUAUCUUUGAUUUCAUAUUUUUCCUUUAGUCAUCAACAUCAUAAGCUGCAUUGAACGCGCGGACACAGAAUACCAGACUAUAAAAUUCUGAGCUUAACAAAGAUGAGAGGGUGGUUUCAUC
rnacentral:lncRNA from 1 species